rnacentral:rRNA from 1 species
AGAGUUUGAUCCUGGCUCAGAACGAACGCUGGCGGCAGGCCUAAAACAUGCAAGUCGAGCGCCCAGCAAUGGGAGCGGCGGACGGGUGAGUAACACGUGGGAACAUGCCUUUCGGUACGGAACAACUCAGGGAAACUUGAGCUAAUACCGUAUGCGCCCUAACGGGGAAAGAUUUAUCGCCGAAGGAUUGGCCCGCGUUGGAUUAGCUUGUUGGUGAGGUAAUGGCUCACCAAGGCGACGAUCCAUAGCUGGUUUGAGAGAACGAUCAGCCACACUGGGACUGAGACACGGCCCAGACUCCUACGGGAGGCAGCAGUUGGGAAUCUUGGACAAUGGGGGAAACCCUGAUCCAGCCAUGCCGCGUGAGUGAUGAAGGCCUUAGGGUUGUAAAGCUCUUUCGCACGCGGCGAUAAUGACGGUAGCGUGAGAAGAAGCCCCGGCUAACUUCGUGCCAGCCGCCGCGGUAAUAC